AUUUUUUUAUUGCUUAAAGUAGCUUCUGAUUGUGUGAGAACCAUCGUUUCUCUCUCCGUUAUGUUGAUAACAAAGCGUAUGUUUAGACUUUAGUUAAGAUAGGAAUGCUGUAUCCAUAAAAUGUUUUAAUAUCAAUGCUGCAACAGUCUAAGUGUCUAACGACCAACAGUUAAACUCUAGACUUUAGGUAGAUUUUAUAGACACUUGAUCAAAAUGUUGAUUUGUCUGUCUUUGAGUGUCUAGUAAUUAUGAUAAAGACAAACAAUGUUUAUUCUUUAGUCAAAACAAUAUUAGAUGAUUUUAAGUUUUCAGAAAAAGAACACAUUCUGACAGAAAAUUAUCAGUGUAUGAGCUUCCAAGACUGUCUAUUACCAUAGAGUUUAUUAGUAAUUGAAAGUAAUUUAUGUUAUUCUAUAAACCAUUAAUGAUUAGAUGUCAUAUCCACAAAUUAUGUGGAUUUUGAAUCCAGUAUGGUAAACAAAUUGGACAUACUUUUAGUGUCCAGCACCAUAUUUUGUAUCAAUUUGGAAAAAUACAAACAAAAAACUGUCUACAACUUAUCUUCAACAAUAUUUACAAAUCAUAAUUAUGGAACUGGACCACCGACAUUAGGAACAAUGUAUAAAAAUGAAUAUAUGUUUAAUUUAUUAGAGACACAGAUUAAUCUGUGUAAAAUAUAUUUCAAUUAUUUAUAUUAUAUACUUACUCAAAUAUUACCAACACUUGGUUGUUUAAUAAUAUUGUUUUAGGAAAAUUGCUGAAAACAGGCAUACAUAUUGUAAAUUACAUGAUAAUAUGUUAGAUAAAAAAAAACAAUUAUUCUCGUCAUAAAUUCAUCUAAAAGUUUUUUAAUUAACUAAACAAAAUACAUAUACUUAUAAGUAGGGUGCAGAUUUGCAUGUAUUUACAUAUUUGUCGCGCAUGAUAAUAUUCGAAUGAUUCCUUUAUAGAAAUACGUUACAGGAUUUUCUGAUUAUUUUAAGCUAUGUUUGAUAUUA